GGCGAGUGAAGCGGCAAAAGCUCAAAUUUGAAAUCCCCCGGGAAUUGUAAUUUGAAGAGAUUUGGGUCCGGCCGGCAGGGGUUAAGUCCACUGGAAAGUGGCGCCACAGAGGGUGACAGCCCCGUGAACCCCUUCAACGCCUUCAUCCCAGAUCUCCAAGAGUCGAGUUGUUUGGGAAUGCAGCUCUAAGUGGGUGGUAAAUUCCAUCUAAAGCUAAAUACCGGCGAGAGACCGAUAGCGAACAAGUACAGUGAUGGAAAGAUGAAAAGCACUUUGAAAAGAGAGUGAAAAAGUACGUGAAAUUGUUGAAAGGGAAGGGCUUGCAAGCAGACACUUAACUGGGCCAGCAUCGGGGCGGCGGGAAACAAAACCACCGGGGAAUGUACCUUUCGAGGAUUAUAACCCCGGUCUUUAUUCCCUUGCUGCCCCGAGGCCUGCAAUCUAAGGAUGCUGGCGUAAUGGUUGCAAGUCGC
rnacentral:rRNA from 1 species